GCACAAUGGGGGRAAACCCUGAUGCAGCCAUGCCGCGUGUGUGAAGAAGGCCUUCGGGUUGUAAAGCACUUUCAGUCGUGAGGAAGGCAUAUGCGUUAAUAGCGUAUGUGUUUUGACGUUAGCGACAGAAGAAGCACCGGCUAACUCCGUGCCAGCAGCCGCGGUAAUACGGAGGGUGCGAGCGUUAAUCGGAAUUACUGGGCGUAAAGCGCAUGCAGGCGGCUUGUUAAGCCAGAUGUGAAAGCCCGGGGCUCAACCUCGGAAUAGCAUUUGGAACUGGCAGGCUAGAGUCUUGUAGAGGGGGGUAGAAUUUCAGGUGUAGCGGUGAAAUGCGUAGAGAUCUGAAGGAAUACCGGUGGCGAAGGCGGCCCCCUGGACAAAGACUGACGCUCAGAUGCGAAAGCGUGGGGAGCAAACAGGAUUAGAUACCCUGGUAGUCCACGCCGUAAACGAUGUCUACUUGGAGGUUGGKGYCUUGAACACUGGCUUUYGGAGCUAACGCGUUAAGUAGACCGCCUGGGGAGUACGGUCGCAAGAUUAAAACUCAAAUGAAUUGACGGGGGCCCGCACAAGCGGUGGAGCAUGUGGUUUA
rnacentral:rRNA from 1 species